UAAUGCAUUAGAAUUAGAACCUAAAUA
rnacentral:tRNA from 1 species